rnacentral:rRNA from 1 species
UGUAGGCGUAUACCAAAGUUGUUGCAGUUAAAACGCUCGUAGUCGGAAUUUGGCAGUUCCGGAUGUGUGCACGUCGUGUGCGCACUUCGCGGGGAUUGCUUUUGUGGUCUUGCGUAGGAUGAGGCACUUUUAUUAGUGAACGUCCUCACGCAACCACUUUUUACUGUGAGAAAAUCAGAGUGCUCAAAGCAGGCAUUUGCCGUGAAUGUAUUAGCAUGGAAUAAUAGAAUAGGACUCGGUUCUAUUUUGUUGGUUUGUUGGGACUGAGUAAUGAUUAAGAGGGACAGUUGGGGGCAUUUGUAUUUCGGCGCUAGAGGUGAAAUUCUUAGAUUGCCGAAAGACAAACUGCUGCGAAAGCGUCUGCCAAGGAUGUUUUCAUUGA